rnacentral:rRNA from 1 species
UGCAUUGGAUUGAGACAAUGUACAAAUGUUAUCGAUAAACAAUUGGAGGGCAAGUCUGGUGCCAGCAGCCGCGGUAAUUCCAGCUCCAAUAGCGUAUAUUAACGUUGUUGCAGUUAAAAAGCUCGUAGUUGAAAUGUGGGAUGAAGUAUAUAAUGAAUUUCUAAUUCAAUUAUAUAUUGAUUCCCCUCUCCAAUUUAUUAUUAUGGGUAUUAAUUUAUUUGUAAUAAGAAUUGGUCAUUUACUGUGAGAAAAUUAGAGUGUUCAAAGCAGGCAUUUGCUUGAAUAGAUUAGCAUGGAAUAAUACUAAAAGGCUUUUAUGGUCGAUUUAAUUGGUUUGUUCAUAAAAGCAAGAUUAAAAGGAACAGUUGGGGGUAUUCAUAUUCAAUAGUUAGAGGUGAAAUUCUCGGAUUUAUGGAAGAGAAAGGCCCCAAAACACAAGUUGUGGUGGGGACCCCAACCUGG